AACGCACCUUGCGCUCCCGGCAGAUUUAAUCUGGGGAGCAUGCCUGUUUGAGGGCCGCGAAUUGUUUCGAACGACAGCUUUUUUUUCUUGUUGAGAAAGAGCUGGCGGAUCGGUAGUGAGGGUCUCUGCCAUUUACCGUGGCUCCCUCGAAAUGCAUUAGCGCAUCCAUUGGAAGGCGGAAAGACGGACGAAAGCUCGAGUUUUUUUGCCCUCGCUUCCCUGCCGGGUUUUGAUAAUGUCAGGACUUCGGAGGCGAAGAGAGGGCGGGAGCUGGACGCAACGACUUUUCUGCUGUUUGGCGUGCUUCUGAACCCCGCCCAUGCCUCUGCUUUAACCACAGAGGAAGGGAUUUAUUUUUCAAUUCAUCGGCCUCAGAUUGGUAGGACUACCCGCUGAACUUAA
rnacentral:misc_RNA from 1 species